rnacentral:lncRNA from 1 species
GGGAGGAAGCUGCGGAAGUGGACUGGGACUGGAGUUUGGGGUUCUACCCUAGGUUGGGGCGGAGGAAGCUGGAGGAUAGGGGCUGACGCCAGGAACGCUGCAGAGGCGGGUUGGGCGGGGGGCGCUGCCGCCCAAGGCCCGAGGCAGCGGCGCGGGAUCGGCCAAAGCACCGGCCGCCAGUUCGGCGGGUCUGGAGAGAGGGGACCUCAAGCAGCCAGUGGAGCAACCAGCCUGGGAGCCUUCGACGUAGGCGCUGUGGGCGAAGGAAAAGGCCUGGCCUGCUGCCUCUUCUCUUGCAGCAAAAUCCGCUGCUGUGAAGGAGCUGGUAGGCGGACGCUCUGUAGAUAAGAGAAUCCCUGAUCUG